AGCAGCCGCGGUAAUUCCAGCUCCAAUAGCGUAUAUUAAAGUUGUUGCAGUUAAAAAGCUCGUAGUUGAAUUUCGGGAUCAAUACGUCGGUCGUGCUUCGGUACGUACUGGCGUCAUUGGUUUCUCCCUUCUGACGAACCAUGAUGUCAUUAAUUUGGUGUUAUGGGAAAUCAGGACUGUUACUUUGAAAAAAUUAGAGUGUUUAAAGCAGGCUCACGCUUGAAUACAUUAGCAUGGAAUAAUGAAAUAGGACGUUCGAUCCUAUUUUGUUGGUUUCUAGGAUCAACGUAAUGAUUAAUAGGGAUAGUUGGGGGCAUUAGUAUUCAAUUGUCAGAGGUGAAAUUCUUGGAUUUAUUGAAGACUAACUACUGCGAAAGCAUUUGCCAAGGAUGUUUUCAUUAAUCAAGAACGAAAGUUAGGGGAUCGAAGACGAUCAGAUACCGUCGUAGUCUUAACCCAUAAACUAUAGCCGACUAGGGAUCGGAUGAUGUUAAUUAUUUAAUGACUCAUUCGGCGUACC
rnacentral:misc_RNA from 1 species